AUUUGUCUGAUCUGUUGUUCUGACCUCCAAUCUUGAGUUUCAGUUUCAUUGCCCUGUACGAUCAUCAAGGCGUGACCUCCGUCGGCCUAGACAACGCCGAUUCAAGAUUACGCUAUUAUAUUUCUGUAAUCUCUGACAUUUCCGUAUGCGUUCGAUAUUGGGAUCUGAUGUUCCCCCAAAUUUGCAGCUAUGGAGAGGCGGCGGAUCUACGAUAUCGUUAAUGUCCUCUAGAGCGUUGGGGUCAGUUUUUUAUUAGGGAAUUUGGGGGUUUUUGAUUUGGGGCCCCAAAUUGAGGGUUUGUAAUUAGGUGAUUUGAUUUAUAAGUUCUUGCACGAAAGGCAAAGAAUUAGUAUUCUUGGAAAGGAUCUUGGGCAAUCUCUAAUGCUAUACAGGAGCUUAAGGAAAUGGGUCUGAAAGAGAACUUCAAUACUUUCCAUGUCAAUUUUCCGCCAAUAAUGAUCCAAAAUGUUGCUGAGUUGGCAGAACUAGGGCUGGUACCACAUGUCAUCACACACAGAUGAAGGGUUUCGGGUAUUGUUGGGAUAUCAAG